rnacentral:rRNA from 1 species
AUUGAACGCUGGCGGCAGGCCUAACACAUGCAAGUCGAGCGAGCGGCGGACGGGUGAGUAAUGUCUGGGAAACUGCCUGAUGGAGGGGGAUAACUACUGGAAACGGUAGCUAAUACCGCAUACCAUCAGAUGUGCCCAGAUGGGAUUAGCUAGUAGGUUGGGUAACGGCUCACCUAGGCGACGAUCCCUAGCUGGUCUGAGAGUGUGACCAGCCACACUGGAACUGAGACACGGUCCAGACUCCUACGGGAGGCAGCAGUGGGGAAUAUUGCACAAUGGGCGCAAGCCUGAUGCAGCCAUGCCGCGGGUGUGAAGAAGGCCUUCGGGUUGUAAAGCACUUUCAGCGGGGAGGCGUUACCCGCAGAAGAAGCACCGGCUAACUCCGUGCCAGCCGCCGCGGUAAUAC